rnacentral:misc_RNA from 1 species
GUAUUAUUAAAACCUAACAAGUACAAAGUGACUCGGUCGACCGGUUCGACGGUGCCACCAGCAUAGCAUUUAAUUCUUCUACAAUGUUCAACCGAACUCGACGACACUCUUUUCAAUCCCGUUGCUAUGGAGACGUUGUCCUUGGCCCCCCAGGAACAGGGUCAUCUUUUUCAUUUCGUUUGCUCCUUUUGCCGAGCUCUCAGUGUCCAUGGAUGUGGUCAUUGUCAAGAGGUGGAGCCGUAGCAGACAAAAAGAAAGAGAGAGAGAGAAAGAGAGAGAGAGAGAGAGUGAGAGAGAGAAAGAGACAGAUAGACAGACAGAGAGAUGAUAUUUGAACAGAACCAAGAGAUCAAAUUUAUCUUAACUGUUAAGCUUCUCUCUUUGGUAGGAUCGUACAUUCAGCACGUGCUGAAAACAAGAGUGACAUCUUUUUGUCAUUUUGUAAUUUAUGGAUUAAUUUAUAGGAAUUAACAGCGGACAAUU